GUGGAUUAGAUACCCUAGUAGUCCACGCCGUAAACGUUGGGCACUAGGUGUGGGCUCUUACCAACGGAGUCCGCGCCGUCGCUAACGCAUUAAGUGCCCCGCCUGGGGAGUACGGCCGCAAGGCUAAAACUCAAAGGAAUUGACGGGGGCCCGCACAAGCAGCGGAGCGUGUUGCUUAAUUCGAUGCUACGCGAAGAACCUUACCUGGGUUUGACAUGUACGGAAAAGCCGCAGAGAUGCGGUGUCCUUCGGGGUCGUACACAGGUGGUGCAUGGCCGUCGCCAGCU
rnacentral:rRNA from 1 species